rnacentral:rRNA from 1 species
UGGGGAAUAUUGGACAAUGGGGGGAACCCUGAUCCAGCCAUGCCGCGUGUGUGAAGAAGGUCUUCGGAUUGUAAAGCACUUUAAGUUGGGAGGAAGGGCUUUAGGUUAAUACCCUGAAGUUUUGACGUUACCAACAGAAUAAGCACCGGCUAACUUCGUGCCAGCAGCCGCGGUAAUACGAAGGGUGCAAGCGUUAAUCGGAAUUACUGGGCGUAAAGCGCGCGUAGGUGGUUUGUUAAGUUGGAAGUGAAAGCCCCGGGCUUAACCUGGGAAUGGCUUUCAAAACUGGCGAGCUAGAGUACGGUAGAGGGUAGUGGAAUUUCCUGUGUAGCGGUGAAAUGCGUAGAUAUAGGAAGGAACAUCAGUGGCGAAGGCGACUACCUGGACUGAUACUGACACUGAGGUGCGAAAGCGUGGGGAGCAAACAGG